UACGUAGGCGGAAAAUUAAGUCAGUGGUGAAAUCAUGCAGCUUAACUGUAGAACUGUCAUUGAUACUGGUUUUCUUGAAUACAGUUGAGGUAGGCGGAAUGUGUAAUGUAGCGGUGAAAUGCUUAGAUAUUACACAGAACACCGAUUGCGAAGGCAGCUUACUAAACUGUUAUUGACGCUGAGGUACGAAAGCGUGGGGAGCGAACAGGAUUAGAUACCCUGGUAGUC
rnacentral:rRNA from 1 species